rnacentral:rRNA from 1 species
UAGUCCACGCCCUAAACGAUGCACACUUGGUAUCGGCUUGUUGGAGUCGGUGCCGGAGCAAACGCGUUAAGUGUGCCGCCUGGGAAGUGCGGCCGCAAGGUUGAAACUCAAAGGAAUUGACGGGAACCCGCACAAGCGGUGGAGCAUGUGGUUUAAUUCGAUGCAACGCGAAGAACCUUACCAGGUCUUGACAUCCUUAUCGUACGACGUGGAGACACGUUGGUCAGUUCGGCUGGAUAAGUGACAGGUGCUGCAUGGCUGUCGUCAGCUCGUGUCGUGAGAUGUUGGGUUAAGUCCCGCAACGAGCGCAACCCUCGCCGUUAGUUACCAGCAUUUCGGAUGGGAACUCUAACGGGACUGCCUGUGAAAGGCAGGGAGGAAGGCGAGGAUGACGUCUAGUCAGCAUGGGUCCUUACGAUCUGGGGCUACACACGU